CGUAGGGUGCAAGCGUUAAUCGGAAUUACUGGGCGUAAAGCGUGCGCAGGCGGUUCGGAAAGAAAGAUGUGAAAUCCCAGAGCUUAACUUUGGAACUGCAUUUUUAACUACCGGGCUAGAGUGUGUCAGAGGGAGGUGGAAUUCCGCGUGUAGCAGUGAAAUGCGUAGAUAUGCGGAGGAACACCGAUGGCGAAGGCAGCCUCCUGGGAUAACACUGACGCUCAUGCACGAAAGCGUGGGGAGCAAACAGGAUUAGAUACCCUGGUAGUCCACGCCCUAAACGAUGUCAACUAGCUGUUGGGGCCUUCGGGCCUUGGUAGCGCAGCUAACGCGUGAAGUUGACCGCCUGGGGAGUACGGUCGCAAGAUUAAAACUCAAAGGAAUUGACGGGGACCCGCACAAGCGGUGGAUGAUGUGGAUUAAUUCGAUGCAACGCGAAAAACCUUACCUACCCUUGACAUGUCUGGAAUCCUGAAGAGAUUUGGGAGUGCUCGAAAGAGAGCCAGAACACAGGUGCUGCAUGGCCGUCGUCAGCUCGUGUCGUGAGAUGUUGGGUUAAGUCCCGCAACGAGCGCAACCCUUGUCAUUAGUUGCUACGAAAGGGCACUCUAAUGAGACUGCCGGU
rnacentral:rRNA from 1 species